AAAAGGGUCAUGGGUCUAAAAAUGUUUCAAAGCACUGCAGCACUGAGAUGGAUUGGUUUCUGAAGAAAAGUGAGAAAAGAAAACCAUUAAGUUCAACUGUCACUCUUCCAACUAAAUAUUGAAACCACUUGGGAAAAAAGUUUUGAGUGAGGUUUACAGUCAGAAGCAACACUGGUGUUUUUGAGGUUUGUGCAUGAGUCUCCAUUUAGCUGUAUUUAGCUGUACCACACUCUUCCUAGAGAUGUGAUUAAGUGCCAUAUUUUGAAGCUUUCGAACGUGUUAAGCUGCUUGUUACACGGGGCUGACUCAUGCAAGGGUUCAUUUGGAUGAGUGGAUUUGUGUGUUGCACUGUGGCUUAGUGGACAGAGGAUUUGGGAGGUUGGAAUUUCCGUUCUACUUUCUCAGUGACGUGGUGCAUGAACACUAAGUAUCUGAGAACAUUAAGGUCUCUGAGUGCUUCACCUUUCAGUCUUUGCGGACCCUACAUUGGACUCGAGGGUGAUUGGCUCAGUUGUGUCACCCAUGGACUGACAAGGUUCAUGUGGCUGAUGGACCGACCUGGCUGACAAGAUCGCCUUGCCAAUCACUGAGACCUCCUGCUGCUAUCAGCUACUGCAAUGAAAUGUGCACACGGGGUGUCAAUCCAUGUGUCCACGUCAGAUAGCCUUCUCAUUCUCUUUACCUCUGGUGACUAAUCUCUUGGCAUAUCUGCUCCCCUUCUGCUCUCUCUACUCAUCAGGAUGGUUCUGUGCCUCACGAGUCUGUCCUCAACCCUCACCCCAGGCUGUCUGUCAUGAUUUUCAAUGUCUUCUUGGAAAUGAUCCCUUUGGAGAUGAUUAUAGUCAUGGUCCACGUGGCCAGCAAAACAGAGAAGCAGGGAUCUCGGUCCCAAGUGAACCCUUGAAGUGCAG
ensembl:lncRNA